rnacentral:rRNA from 2 species
GCUACACAUGCAGUCGAGCGGAGAGAGGUAGCUUGCUACUGAUCUUAGCGGCGGACGGGUGAGUAAUGCUUAGGAAUCUGCCUAUUAGUGGGGGACAACAUUUCGAAAGGAAUGCUAAUACCGCAUACGUCCUACGGGAGAAAGCAGGGGAUCUUCGGACCUUGCGCUAAUAGAUGAGCCUAAGUCGGAUUAGCUAGUUGGUGGGGUAAAGGCCUACCAAGGCGACGAUCUGUAGCGGGUCUGAGAGGAUGAUCCGCCACACUGGGACUGAGACACGGCCCAGACUCCUACGGGAGGCAGCAGUGGGGAAUAUUGGACAAUGGGCGCAAGCCUGAUCCAGCCAUGCCGCGUGUGUGAAGAAGGCCUUAUGGUUGUAAAGCACUUUAAGCGAGGAGGAGGCUACUUUAGNUAAUACCUAGAGAUAGUGGACGUUACUCGCAGAAUAAGCACCGGCUAACUCUGUGCCAGCAGCCGCGGUAAUACAGAGGGUGCAAGCGUUAAUCGGAUUUACUGGGCGUAAAGCGCGCGUAGGCGGCUAAUUAAGUCAAAUGUGAAAUCCCCGAGCUUAACUUGGGAAUUGCAUUCGAUACUGGUUAGCUAGAGUGUGGGAGAGGAUGGUAGAAUUCCAGGUGUAGCGGUGAAAUGCGUAGAGAUCUGGAGGAAUACCGAUGGCGAAGGCAGCCAUCUGGCCUAACACUGACGCUGAGGUGCGAAAGCAUGGGGAGCAAACAGGAUUAGAUACCCUGGUAGUCCAUGCCGUAAACGAUGUCUACUAGCC